GACAAACGCUGGCGGCGUGCUUAACACAUGCAAGUCGAGCGGUAAGGCCCUUUCGGGGGUACACGAGCGGCGAACGGGUGAGUAACACGUGGGUGACCUGCCCUCAGCUCUGGGAUAAGCCUGGGAAACCGGGUCUAAUACCGGAUAUGACUCCAUGACGCAUGUUGUGGGGUGGAAAGCCUUGUGCGGCUGAGGAUGGGCCCGCGGCCUAUCAGCUUGUUGGUGGGGUGAUGGCCUACCAAGGCGACGACGGUAGCCGGCCUGAGAGGGCGACCGGCCACACUGGGACUGAGACACGGCCCAGACUCCUACGGGAGGCAGCAGUGGGGAAUCUUGCGCAAUGGGCGAAAGCCUGACGCAGCGACGCCGCGUGA
rnacentral:rRNA from 1 species